rnacentral:tRNA from 1 species
GAAAUAAGUAACCAAAAUUAAGCUUCUAACUUAAAUUUUUAGUGGAUAAUUCCAUUAUUAUUUCU